AGGCACACUAAAAUAUUGCUGGGAGGCUGCCGCCUUCCUCCCAGGCUGUUCUGACACAGGCUGCUGUUUCAGGCUUGUGAGGUGCACUUACCUGCAAUGAGACUAGCAUGGAAGAGGCAGAGACAAGAAACAGUGAAUUACUGUAUCCAGCACAAAUCUCCUCCAGGGCUCAGAGAGAUCUCCGCAAGCAAGGAAUAUGGAACCACUCAAAUCAGGAAUAGAUGGGGACUUUGAAGAUAAGGAGCAUUGGGAACUGUCCUUUGAACCAUUUGGAAACAGCUUAUCUCAACCUCAUUUUUACCCACCCAGAAUCAAAAUCUAGUCUCUUGGCAUAAAAGGAUAAUGAUAACUAGGAGCUCUAAGGGCAGUGUGGAAUCACUGGCUGGAGAUCCCAUUAUGCGUACUAUCAAAUAAAUAUUAAGUUUCUAAUAUAUUCACAACAAUUU